GGAGCAUGAGAAGAGCUGAGACCUGGAAAAAUGAAAAGCCAACCUUCAGUUUGCUUCUGAGAGAGAGGCUGCACUAGAGAAGGGUGCAAUUUGGAAGACUGCCUUUCUCUCUGUCCACACCUACAGGAAUGUUGGAGAAAGAGAUGAUUGCAUUAUGCUGCACAUGAAAGGUAGGGACUGUACCUUACUAUCUGCUUACCCCCGUGCCUACCACAGUGCCUGGCACACAUGGAGGGGCACAGUUGGGUUUAUGGAAUGACUUAACCCUUGGGUUGAUCAAGAACUCUGGCCUCCUGCCUCCUAAUUCAUGACACAUGCUUGAUCUUGUGGUGC
rnacentral:lncRNA from 13 species